UGAGUAACGCGUAAGAACUUGCCCUUUAGACUGGGAUAACAGAGGGAAACUUCUGAUAAUACUGGAUAAGUUAGUAUAUCGCAUGAUAUGCAAAUGAAAGCUACGGCACUAAAGGAGAGCUUUGCGUCCUAUUAGCUAGUUGGUAAGGUAAGAGCUUACCAAGGCGAUGAUAGGUAGCCGGCCUGAGAGGGUGGACCGGCCACAAGGGGGACUGAGAUACGGCCCCUUACUCCUACGGGAGGCAGCAGCC
rnacentral:rRNA from 1 species